UACGUAGGGGGCGAGCGUUGUCCGGAAUCAUUGGGCGGAAAGAGCGUGUAGGCGGCCCGGUAAGUCCGCUGUGAAAGUCGGGGGCUCAACCCUCGAAAGCCGGUGGAUACUGUCGGGCUAGAGUGCGGAAGAGGCGAGUGGAAUUCCUGGUGUAGCGGUGAAAUGCGCAGAUAUCAGGAAGAACACCCGUGGCGAAGGCGGCUCUCUGGUACGUGACUGACGCUGAGACGCGAAAGCGUGGGGAGCGAACAGG
rnacentral:rRNA from 1 species